rnacentral:rRNA from 1 species
GUGCCAGCAGCCGCGGUAAUACCGGCAGCCCGAGUGAUGGCCGAUCUUAUUGGGCCUAAAGCGUCCGUAGCCGGCCACACAAGUCCAUCGGGAAAUCCGCCAGCCUAACUGGCGGGCGUCCGGUGGAAACUGUGUGGCUUGGGACCGGAAGACCCAACAGGUACGUCUUGGGUAGGAGUGAAAUCCCGUGAUCCUGGACGGACCACCGAUAGCGAAAGCAUGUUGGGAAGACGGAUCCGACGGUGAGGGACGAAAGCCAGGGUCUCGAACCGGAUUAGAAACCCCUGUAGUCC